rnacentral:lncRNA from 1 species
UAUUAAAUUAAUAUGCAUUAUGCAUUAUCUCAUAAUUUAAAAAUGGAAUAAAGGUAAUUUUCCCUGGAAGAGCAAAAUGAAAUAUAAUGGGUGAAAAAACUCACUCCUUUGUUUUAUAGAAAGAACAUAAUAAGGUGUUUUGUUGUCUGAUUUUUCAAAGAGCACAUUUCCAUAUGAGUGAACAGAGAGGAAAGGAUUACUACAUGAUUGGUAUAAGGGAUUAGUAUUAGUAUACAAGGUGAAGUCUAUUUUAAAAUGCUUCUAGUUAAUAAACACAUAAUUGAACAAGUAAUUCUUGAGUUUUAAAAAUUUGAUGUUGCAAAGGAAUACAUAUAUUUCUUUAUGCUAAUUGUAUAUGUGCAUUUUUAUUUUAAAUAUCUUAGUUUGAAGCUAUUG